ACUUUCUGCUUUGAGUGGUUAUCUCCUGAUGUCUUCAUGUCCGGCAGGGAUCCUAGAACCCAUCCUGACUGCUUCCAACUCAUGCUAAAAUGUGCUACAACACACGUGUGGAGGUGUGACAAGCUCCGGAGUCAGUUCUCUUCUCCCAGCAUGUGGGUCCAUGAGAUGGAAUUCAGGCUUCAGGCUUGGAGGCAGGAGCUUCAUCUCUCUCUUCACUACUCAGCUGCUACCUGAAAACAUCUUAAAAUGUGCUUCACUGUCUGAAAGAGUCAAGAGAUGCUUCAGCCAAGUAUCACUUUUCACUCCGGACUUUGGGAAUGAACACAUCUUUGUAACCCAAUGAUUGCAUGUGCACAGGGAUAGUUUAGCAAGUAACAAAACUGGCCUGAGUUGUGCUUUUCAAAUGUAAAGCAUUGGGAAAGCUUUGUUUUGCUUCAAUUUUAAAGUGUUGUUUACAGUCAUUAAAUUGUUCAUCUGAGCCAAAUUGUCCCUGGUGCCCACAAUACACAAAAUUGCCUCUGGCACCCAAAAUACAGCUGUAGCAGAACAUUCUUUGCAAGCCCAAGGUCACUUUCUCCACAGCAUUGCCAUCUGUAAAUGUCUCUUUUAUUUCCUCAGAUGAGAUGAGACCCAUACCCAAGCUGUGCUAAUCCACAGCUUUGGCUGAGCCCAGAGUGCUUCUUUCUGUGUUCUAUCUACCCCUAGGCCUAGACCUGGAAGCUUCUUGCCUCCGUACAAUCUCAUCUUCUGUAAACCUGGACCUUAAAGGUUUCAGGUUCCAGCCUCCAUCUGUUAACUUAGGCCUAGAAAGUUUCAGUCUUUGAGACUUACUGCUGAAUAAACUUACUUUUUCUAGCUCUUUCUGAACUCUAGCUGGAUGGUUCAACUCAGCUGUUCUGGCUCAAACUCCUCUCCAAGCUGACUGGAGAAGAGCUGAUUGGCUUCUCUCUGCUUCUGACUGAAUCACUCUACCUGGAAAAUGCUCCUCUGAACUCCAUGAACUCAACUGGCUGGAACUGUACAAACUCAACUGCAUUCAGCUGAAUUGCACUGAACUCAACUCAACUCCACAACUUCUCUUCCUGCACUGCUCUUAAGUAGUCUCUCUUUCCUGUCUGUUCUCUUGAGAGUUGGGUGUAUCCUAUCUCCGGCUCAUUCUCUCAAAUCUUUUUUUUUUUUUUUUUGAUUCAUCAUUUUGUCUGCCUGUCAAUUAGUCAUUAUUGUUUGGGAUUAAAGGCAUGUACUAAGGACUUGUAUGUAUUCCAUACGGAUCACACAGACCUAAGUCUUUGGAUGUGAUCCCUUGCCAGAGUAGCCAUGUUUCUGGAUUUAAAAAAAAAUCCCUCUACACCCUUCAAACACAGUACAUAUGGCUUCAAGUGUCAAGCUUUGGACUAUGAGUAUCCUCCUAGCUCAUACACAAGUACACAAGUGUAACCUGACAAUAUUGGAGAACUAGCCCCUAAGGAGUUGUUCCCAACUAACAGGAGAGCAGUUGAUGAAUAAUAGCUGUGCCCCCUCUGCUAUCACUGCUAUCUAUCUAUCUAUCUAUCUAUCUAUCUAUCUAUCUAUCUAACUAUCGUACAAUCCUCUUCAGAUGAUUAGCCAGUGUUUUCUGGAAUCUCCUGGGAAAAUCAGUUUUAUGGCUUAAGUUACAUAGUUCUCUUGCUGGAUAAAUCAUGGUAACCAAUAAAGGGCUCCGGUGAGAUAUCUAGACCCUUCCAUGAUGUGCUUUCCUACAUGUACAUUCUGAUUAAGACUGUUCCUGCAAUGGUCAUUACCAAGGCUUUUAGAAUGCAGUUUCUCACUUGCUGUGGACAUGAACAUAAAGAAAAAUUCCCAUGAGGUUUUUCAUAUGCUACUUGACUAGCAUUUAACCUGUUGGGAACAUGUGU
rnacentral:lncRNA from 1 species